rnacentral:rRNA from 1 species
AGCUUGCUCCUCUGAUUUAGCGGCGGACGGGUGAGUAACACGUGGGUAAUCUGCCUGUAAGACGGGGAUAACUCCGGGAAACCGGGGCUAAUACCGGAUAAUAAGAGAAGAAGCAUUUCUUCUUUUUGAAAGUCGGUUUCGGCUGACACUUACAGAUGAGCCCGCGGCGCAUUAGCUAGUUGGUGAGGUAACGGCUCACCAAGGCGACGAUGCGUAGCCGACCUGAGAGGGUGAUCGGCCACACUGGGACUGAGACACGGCCCAGACUCCUACGGGAGGCAGCAGUAGGGAAUCUUCGGCAAUGGGCGAAAGCCUGACCGAGCAACGCCGCGUGAGCGAUGAAGGCCUUCGGGUCGUAAAGCUCUGUUGUUAGAGAAGAACAAGUACGAGAGUAACUGCUCGUACCUUGACGGUACCUAACCAGAAAGCCACGGCUAACUACGUGCCAGCAGCCGCGGUAAUACGUAGGUGGCAAGCGUUAUCCGGAAUUAUUGGGCGUAAAGCGCGCGCAGGCGGUCUCUUAAGUCUGAUGUGAAAGCCCACGGCUCAACCGUGGAGGGUCAUUGGAAACUGGGAGACUUGAGUGCAGGAGAGAAAAGUGGAAUUCCACGUGUAGCGGU